UCGCUCGGUCCACUUCCUGGCCGAACCUCUUAAUUUUUGCCCUUUAUUGAUAAUAUCACCCAAAGGCGAGGGCUAACUUAAACCUUAGCUAAAGACUUCCCUAGUCAUUAAUAGCAUAGAUCCUUUCAACAGAUACGCAGCAGAUUAUUCUCUAAUUAACCAUUGGUCUAAAACCAAUCUAACACUUGUCUGGUCGAAUUACCUUAGCCUUGGCCAGGAUACUCAACUACCAAUUAGCUUAAAGGUAAAUCCUAAACCCAAACCAAGCCAUACGAUUCUGAGGUUCCAUUCCCCUAAACCAUUCUAUCUAGAUCUACAUAAGUAAAUGCUAGAUCAUACCUUUCCCACAUCUAUGGAGCUUAUUAGCUCAUCGGUCCUCCAUUGACUUGAAUUGCUCUUGCUUUACAGCUGGACCACGAUCACUCAAUGAUCUUACUUAAGGUCCUUAUCUUGACUCCUGCAUCAAACAACUCCCCUAGGUACUUAGUCAUUCAACCAACCAUCCCCACAAACAUAAGUAACCUUUGAGAAGUCUUCGAAAGGAUAAGGAUAUGUAUUUGGCCUAUCUCGGCUCAAGCACAAUCCAAAAUCCUUUUGCCUUAUAGGCAAUAGUACCAAGUCCAUCUUCUGGACUGACAUAGCACAUGAGAUCCUAAGUCAAUCAACCAACCAUCCUCACAUGACUUGGAACUGAUGAGUCAUCAUCUGGCCUGACCGGCCUUGGGACUUAACCCAGACAACAUAUAUGACUUGUUCAUACCAACCGAUGCAUUCAUUAAUCAGGUUAGUACCGACACCUUGAACCAUCAUUCAGAGGUCAGGUCGUCCAUACUCAACCAUGAUCAGAUCUUACACGGCCUUCCUUGAACAAUCACACUUAGGCUCAGUAUUUAUGGUCUACGACACAUAGUACUAGCCACACACUUCGUCAUGACACUUAGCCAAUCUCGAAGCUAUCAACACCAAGGUUGAUAUCUAGAAGCAUCAACCAAUACUCUUACUCCUGCAACGUGAAUAUCCAUACUAGUGUUUGGCCAUCGAACCAUCGUCAUGAAACAUGAUCCGACCACUAGACUUGAUAAGCCAUCGUCCACUUAGCAUGUACUGAUAUAACCGGCCUUCCAUUGCCAUCAUGUGGGUCUACGCCCUACAUAAGGCAUAUGGCGCCUAUCCUACUCACCAACUCAAAGUUGAUUGUAAGAUAUCCCACUUAGCCUUUGCGGCUAGAACCAUCCAACCAUAGCUGGAUCGUCCAUAGUCUCGUCUAACCGUUUGGUUAAGAUCUAGGUGCGAUCAUGUGCGCGCCUAACUCGUCGGUUAUGGACCGCGACCUCAUUACUCAACCAGAACCACGGUUAUAACCAAUCCCAACACAUCAACAAGGCCAUGCCAAUGUACAGGAGGAGUAGAAGAAGAAAUAGAUGAAAAGAAUAAGAAGAAUAGGACACAAUCCAAACGCCCAUGGCUAGACCGGUUCAGACUGUCCGAUGGUCUUAGCCGAUGAGUCGGUGGUUACCCCACUGACCCUAUCUGACUAAACCACGGGGUUGGAGUCCUUCUCCAGACCUUUCUCUAUGCCUUGGGUAUCCAUAACCACACGGCCUCCUCUCUCCUAAACCGUUCUCCUUGCCGGAGAUACUAAAUUACCACAACCGAGCCUUUUCCGUCUUGGAUCCUCGGUUCUCAUUGGGGGAUCCCUUUGUUUAGGACGUGUGUCCUUUGUCUCAGACAGAAUGAGACUGAAUAAUACUGAAUGCCUUGAUCUCUGGUCGUGCAUCCUAUAUAUAGGCAACCAAAGGUCAUGUGUGAAGGGACACAUCCCUUCGAAGCAUCCUUUUGGGACAGAUCUGGGGCAUCGAUUACAAUCAACGGUCCAGAUCGUACCUGUUCGGAAAUGGAAGGUUCCAGACCUUAUAGGCACGUACAACCCAAGCGCAGACUUGAUACCCAAGCCCACGGCCUGUCCACAAGAGCCCAACGACUCAUGGACCACAUGGCCGGACCUCAUGGCCCGCCACUGACCCAGACCCAGACCAUCGGCCCGAAACCCAAACAGUCCGUCGAGCUGAGAUGAGCUGACUCCCAGCUGCCUCAACUGAGUGAGCUAGUAGUCCAGCUGGUUGAGCUGACUUAACUUGGAACGAGCUAGGCUGAGCUUGACCGAGCUAUGUCUAGCUGAUCGAGCUUCGCGUAAGCAUCGCCCAGCUUAUGUACAGCUUGUUCUAGCUGACUUCUUUCUCUUAUAAGGUUAAGUCUCAGCAUCCUGACGUCCUUAACCGUCUAUCUUGGCCAUGGAACGCUUGCCUUAAGGUCCUAAGACCGGCUGGUUCGUUUCCUCGAACCAUGGCCGUCCCGACGGUCCUUAUCCAGGAUCGCGAGUGUUACAAGUCUCCCCCACUUGAAAUGGAUUCGUCCUCGAAUCCGGUGGUGAUUAUAUCUUGUCCCAAGACAAAAUAUUCCAACCGACUUAUUCUAGUCUUGAUCAGGGAAUAGAACAAGUUUGAUUCAAAUCCACCAAUUGACCACUUCGAUGAUCAAGUUCCUUUGACCAUCUUUGUACAGGUCUCCCCCACUUAAUAAGUGGUCCUUUCUGGUUUCACUGAUGGCACCCUUACUUGUCUAAUUCGACCACAGUCAAGAGUCCAUCCGGCCGACUAGGCCGUGGUCGAAGCCUUACGUCGCUCGGUCCACUUCCUGGUCGAACCUCUUAAUUUUUGCCCUUUAUUUAUAAUAUCGCCUAAAGGAAAGGGCUAACUUAAACCUUAGCUAAAGACUUCCCUAGUCAUUAAUAGCAUAGAUCCUUUCAACAGAUACGCAGCGGAUUAUUCUCUAAUUAACCAUUGGUCUAAAACCAAUCUAACACUUGUCUUGUCGAAUCACCUUAGCCUUGGCCAGUGUACUCAACUACCAAUUAGCUUAAAGGUCAAUCCUAAACCCAAACCAAGCCAUACGAUUCUGAGGUUCCAUUCCCCUAAACCGUUCUAUCUAGAUCUACAUAAGUAAAUGCUAGAUCAUACCUUUGCCACAU
rnacentral:lncRNA from 1 species